rnacentral:rRNA from 1 species
GAUGAACGCUAGCGGCAGGCUUAACACAUGCAAGUCGAGGGGUAUUGGUUUUUGGACCAAGAGACCGGCGCACGGGUGCGUAACGCGUAUGCAAUCUACCUUUUGCAGAGGGAUAGCCCCAGAGAAAUUUGGAUUAAUACCUCAUAGUAUAGUACUUUGGCAUCAAGGAACUAUUAAAGUCACAACGGCAAAGAUGAGCAUGCGUCCCAUUAGCUAGUUGGUAAGGUAACGGCUUACCAAGGCUACGAUGGGUAGGGGUUCUGAGAGGGAGAUCCCCCACACUGGUACUGAGACACGGACCAGACUCCUACGGGAGGCAGCAGUGAGGAAUAUUGGACAAUGGGCGCAAGCCUGAUCCAGCCAUGCCGCGUGCAGGAUGACGGUCCUAUGGAUUGUAAACUGCUUUUAUACAGGAAGAAACACUCCGACGUGUCGGAGCUUGACGGUACUGUAAGAAUAAGGAUCGGCUAAC